UUGAACGCUGGCGGCAGGCCUAACACAUGCAAGUCGAGCGGAUGAAGGGAGCUUGCUCCUGGAUUCAGCGGCGGACGGGUGAGUAAUGCCUAGGAAUCUGCCUGGUAGUGGGGGAUAACGUCCGGAAACGGGCGCUAAUACCGCAUACGUCCUGAGGGAGAAAGUGGGGGAUCUUCGGACCUCACGCUAUCAGAUGAGCCUAGGUCGGAUUAGCUAGUUGGUGGGGUAAAGGCCUACCAAGGCGACGAUCCGUAACUGGUCUGAGAGGAUGAUCAGUCACACUGGAACUGAGACACGGUCCAGACUCCUACGGGAGGCAGCAGUGGGGAAUAUUGGACAAUGGGCGAAAGCCUGAUCCAGCCAUGCCGCGUGUGUGAAGAAGGUCUUCGGAUUGUAAAGCACUUUAAGUUGGGAGGAAGGGCAGUAAGCUAAUACCUUGCUGUUUUGACGUUACCAACAGAAUAAGCACCGGCUAACUUCGUG
rnacentral:rRNA from 1 species